rnacentral:rRNA from 1 species
UACGGGGGGAGCAAGCGUUGUUCGGAUUUACUGGGCGUAAAGGGCGCGUAGGCGGCCUCCGCAAGUCAAUUGUGAAAUCUCCGGGCUUAACUCGGAAAGGUCAACUGAUACUGCGGGGCUAGAGUGCGGAAGGGGCAACUGGAAUUCUUGGUGUAGCGGUGAAAUGCGUAGAUAUCAAGAGGAACACCUGCGGCGAAGGCGGGUUGCUGGGCCGACACUGACGCUGAGGCGCGGAAGCUAGGGGAGCGAACGGG